rnacentral:lncRNA from 1 species
UCUCGUGAUAGUUUCCGUAAUUAGUUUUAUCCGCGUCCACAAAUGCAAAAUCAAAACUACCUCUGUUUUUAUCGUCUUCCAGGAGUUUGUCAAGAACAGGUAAAGCUGGAGAGUGUUUGAAAUUGAUCUUAUGCUCAACACCAGCUUUUCGAAUGACUGGCAGGCCUAGUUCAUAAGACUCGAGAUUCGAGUCAAUUGCUAGAAUCUUGCCAUCAUCAGGAAUUGUAAGAGCAGUGAGAAGCAGAGAAUAUCCUGUGAACACUCCGAGUUCAAUUGUGUUUUUGGCGUUUAAUAGAUUCAACAACAUCGCUAUCAAUUGACCUGAAUCAGGUGUUGUUCCCAUGUAAAAAUCAGGGAGAUUUGCAGUUAUAGCCCUGAUUUCUUUGAGAGGCUCUGGUUCUCGAGGGUAAACACUAGUCUCCAAAACAUAUCGAUAUAAUUCUUGACUCUGCAAUAAGCCUUUAUUGUCCCAGGGUGAACCUUCAACCUGUAAACAUAAUCAAAUAACAAAAAAUCAAGCAUUCAUCAGGUAACUUUGUCCGUCAAUGCUUGUGAAGAUUGAAGUUUAUCAUUACAAAUAGAGGAUGAAGAAAUAGACCUGAUCAGAAGCGUUAGAAUGAAGAUUCAUCCUCCGACCUGAAAAUGCUAGUUGCUUUUUGGGAUGGAUGUAGAUUCAGAGUCAAAGUACUUUCAAUGCGGAAUAUAAAUUCUCUCAUUGCACUUGAGAAUCUCUUGUAUUAUCGGUUCUUCCACCGAAAAAAUGCUAGGUGUCUCGCAUGCCAACUCAUACUUGCGUGAGAGAUUUCUUUGCUUCACAAAUGGACAAAUUUGGGUACCAUAUUUUAAGACUUCCUCCAAACUCCUACCUAUAUUACCUUCAUUUCUUAUGGACAAAAUAAUUUCAAUUUGGGGUCGAUUGGAUUUUAUGUUUCAUACUUUCUGAGAACUUUUUAGUUAUGGGAGUUGAAAUUGAAAAUGAUAAUGACUAUGAAUUUCCUCAUUUAUUUUCUUAAUUAAUGUUACCGGCCAAUUUCUACCAAAUUUACUAAUUUGUUUUUUUUUUUUUUUGGAAAAUUACGCGGUUAGGCAAACAUAUACUAGUUAAUUAACUAACAUAGUUAUAGUUUGCAUUAAUUACAAUUUGGAACUUACUUCUAGUUAUAAUUACAUUCUCUCUCUCUCAUCUCUCUCCUCUCUGGAAUCUCACUCGUCACUCUCCUCUUUUUCAGUCAUCUCUCCCUCGCCUCUCUCCUCUCUCCUCUCCAUGCCCAAUCUCUCGCUCGCUUCUCUUCUGCCAAUCUCUCUCUCACUUUAUACAAACACAAAUUAUACAAUGUAUAAUUUGUGUUUGUAUAAAACGGAAAAGAGAUUGGAUAUAUAAAUACUAAUAUUUUAACUCGAUUCAAUUGUAUAUGAAUUCAAAUUGUAUGCAGGUAUAUAAAUCCAAUAAUUGAUACAUAUACAUUGUAGUUACAUAUAUAAAAUUAUCUAAUCGAUAUACAUAUACAGUUCGCCUCUCUCCACUCUCUGUCCUCUCUCACUCGCAUCUCUCCUCCCUCUCCCAAUCUUUCUCGCCUCUCUCCUCCAUCUGUCAAUCUCGCUCGCUUGAUAUACAAAUACAUAUGUAUACCAGUAAUAUAUAUACAAUUAUUUUGACAGAUAUACAUAUAAAAUUUGUCUCUCUCUACUCUCUGCCCUCUCUCGCUCGCCUCUCCUCCCUUCCCCAAUCUCGCUCACCACUCCCCUCCCUAAAACAUGUAGCUACGAAUCGUAAUUAGCAAACUAUAGCUAUGGAGCAUAAUUAAGUUAUUUUUGAGUGGCUAUUUGUGAAAAUUAUUCGCUUUUUUCCCCUAGUGUAUUAGGAUACUGAUGGAGGAUUUUUUUUUUUAAUUAAUAAACAUGAACUACAAUUUGUUUUGUAGAAGAGAAAUGAGAACAAGAAGAUAAAGGGGGAGUUUGUCAAGAGAGAAAGUAAAGUCUUUGAAAGGGGGACCGAAAAUGUCCAUUUUUCAAGUAAAUAAGUUGUUUUUCUUUAAAUCGAUACGAUUAAAUUUGAAGAACACAUGAAUUAGUUCAACCCGAAGGUUGCGAGUUCGAGUCACCAAGGGAGCAAAAGGGGUGGGAGCUCCUAGGGAGGGUAAAAAAAGACGAGAUGAAGUUGCUCGAAUGGUAAGCACCCUUCACUUCCAACUCGAAGGUUGCGAAUUUGAGUCACCAGGGGAGCAAAAGGGGUGGGAGCUCCUACGGAGUUUUAAAAAAAAAAAAAAAAGUUCAACAAUUUCCCUAGCAUAUACGUAAUCAGUAAUAUGCUCAUAUCUAACAUCAAUACAACAACAACAACAACAACAAACCCAGUGAAAUCCCACAAAGUGGGGUCUGGGGAGGGUAAAUUGUACGCAGACCUUACCACUACCUCGUGGAGAUAGAGAGGAUGUUUCCGGAUGACCCUCGGCUCAAGUACAUCCAUAGAUGUACAUUUUUAUUCAAUCUACUUUAUAUUACGUUCUUUCCAUUUAUACCACAUAAUCAUAAACAAAAUAGUGACACUUCACGAAGGUUGACAUAUUAUUUAUAACAUCAUCAUGCUAAUCACGAGGAAAAAAAGCUACUGGUUCCUUCAUAUAUAUAAGCUUAUAACCCUCCAACAAAAUUUCAUUUAUUUUGAUGAUUAAUCAAACCUUAUUUGAUGAAACUAUUGACAAGCGACAUGACUUCUGAAGACAAAAUCAAUACUAAUAAGGUAUUGAAGCGAUGGUCAUCUGCAGGUGAAACUUCGACUAAGACUUGUACCUAAUUUCCUCGGUCAAAAGAGUCGCCUGCAGAUGGUCAUUCCAUCACCUAACGGAACUUGAGAAAUUUGAAUUCGGGUAUCUGCAGCAAGGGAUUUGUUUAACUCAACUAAGUAACUUCUUUCUGGUCUCAUCAACUUGUCAACACUUUCCUCUGGCAUACCAACUGAUCCAUACCAGAGUGUGUUAUCAUACACAAUCAAACCUCCAACUUUCACCAGCUGCAUUAGUCUCUCGUGAUAGUUUCCGUAAUUAGUUUUAUCCGCAUCCACAAAUGCAAAAUCAAAGCUACUUUUGUUAUUAUCAUCUUCCAGGAGUUUGUCAAGAACAGGUAAAGCCGGAGAGUGUUUGAAAUCGAUCUUAUGCUCAACACCGGCUUUUUGAAUGAUUGGCAGGCCCAUUUCAUAAGACUCGAGAUUCGGGUCAAUUGCUAGGAUCUUGCCAUCAUCAGGAAUUGUAAGAGCAGUG